UUUAGUAACUUUGGUGUAAGAGUCAUAGAUUAUGUUGAGCUGGAAUGGUUGCAAACAGAAUAGUAAAAGCACAACAUAAUCUCUUCCUGAUAAAGGUGAAUUAGAGAAGCAAAGAAAUGUAUUCUCUAGUACAUCAAAAAUCAACUGUGUUUGAAUAAUAGCAAAGCUAUGAUACAUACUGAUAAAUUAAGCAAAGCUAAAGUGAAGGUUGUCAUUCAUCAGCUGCUCUCACAGCAUCACUGUCUUUCCACAACCACAGGAGUUUAGAUUAGCAUCAUGUUAACUGUGGAUUACCUGAUCUGUAUCACAGCCCACUGGUUACUUACAUGAGGAGAGUGUACCCAGGAGACCAUAGAAAUACAAUUUUGAGCUAGGAAGGGAAGAGAUAUGCAGAUCGGUAACAAGAAAAUAAGGAAGAAACAUUAUAUCAGAGAAGUUAGGAAUGGUGAUCAGAGAUUAAGAGAAGAAAAAAAAGAGAUCAGAACACAAAAAAUAGGAGGUCAACAAAAGAGAAGAGACAUAAAGAACAUAAGUGCCCUACUGCAUCAGACCACAGGUCCAUGUAAUGCAGUACCCAGUGGCAGAGUGGAUGCUAAGGGGAAGACUAUAAACACAGGGCCUAGAAAGUCCUAAUUUGGAAGUGCAACCCUAAUUAUCAUGCUUAGUUUCCACUGACAGACCUACCCUGCAUAAAUUUGUCCAAUUCUCUUAUGAAUUUGGUUGACUUACCAGCCUCUACAACAUCUUGUGGUAAUCAGUUGCACAAGUUAAUUGCAAGCUGUGUGAUUUCUUUUCUUUUUGUUUUAAACCUCCUUCUUAAUAAUUUCAUUGUAUGUUCCCUAGUUCUAAUAUCAUGAGGAAUGGUAACUAGUAAAUUCCUAUUUCUUUUC